ensembl:snRNA U1 U1 spliceosomal RNA
UAACUCUGGUUGUUUGUUAUAAUAUUUCAAAUUAGUGAUUACUGCAUACUAAAGUAAUGGAUAAGGCUCAUGCACUGCACUUCGGGUGUGUUGACCCCUGUGAUUUCCCCAAAUGUGGGAAACUCAGCCGCAGAGUUUGUCCCAAUUCCUAUCUGUCUAGGGU